rnacentral:rRNA from 1 species
AUUGAACGUUGGCGGCACGCCUAAUACAUGCAAGUCGAACGAGAAAGCACUUCGGUGUGAGUACAGUGGCGGACGGGUGAGUAACGCGUAGGAAUCUACCUAGUAGUGGGGGACAACUCGAGGAAACUCGAGCUAAUACCGCAUACGCUCUUAGGAGGAAAGUGGGGGAUCUUCGGACCUCACGCUAUUAGAGGAGCCUGCGUUAGAUUAGCUUGUUGGUGAGGUAAAGGCUCACCAAGGCGACGAUCUAUAGCUGGUCUGAGAGGACGAUCAGCCACACUGGAACUGAGACACGGUCCAGACUCCUACGGGAGGCAGCAGUAGGGAAUCUUGGGCAAUGGGCGAAAGCCUGACCCAGCGAUGCCGCGUGUGCGAAGAAGGCCUUAGGGUUGUAAAGCACUUUCAGUCGUGAAGAAAAGCUACGAUUUAAUAUGUCGUGGUCUUGACGUUAGCGACAGAAGAAGUACCGGCUAACUCCGUGCCAGCAGCCGCGGUAAUACGGAGGGUACGAACGUUAAUCGGAAUUACUGGGCGUAAAGCGCGCGUAGGCGGUUUGAUAAGUGGGAUGUGAAAGCCCCGGGCUCAACCUGGGAACUGCAUUCCAAACUGUCAAACUAGAGUGUGGUAGAGGGCGGUAGAAUUUCCUGUGUAGCGGUGAAAUGCGUAGAUAUAGGAAGGAAUACCGAUGGCGAAGGCAGCCGCCUGACCAACACUGACGCUGAG